AUUGAACGCUGGCGGCAGGCUUAACACAUGCAAGUCGAGCGGUAACAGAGAGAAGCUUGCUUCUCUGCUGACGAGCGGCGGACGGGUGAGUAAUGCCUAGGAAUCUGCCUAGUAGUGGGGGAUAACUUGCCGAAAGGUAAGCUAAUACCGCAUACGUCCUACGGGAGAAAGGAGGGGACCUUCGGGCCUUUCGCUAUUAGAUGAGUCUAGGUCGGAUUAGUUAGUUGGUGAGGUAAUGGCUCACCAAGACCGCGAUCCGUAACUGGUCUGAGAGGAUGAUCAGUCACACUGGAACUGAGACACGGUCCAGGCUCCUACGGGAGGCAGCAGUGGGGAAUAUUGGACAAUGGGGGGAACCCUGAUCCAGCCAUGCCGCGUGUGUGAAGAAGGUCUUAGGAUUGUAAAGCACUUUAGGUUGGGAGGAAGAGCAGUUAACUAAUAUUUGACUGUUUUGACGUUACCGACAGAAUAAGCACCGGCUAACUUCGUGCCAGCCGCCGCCGUAA
rnacentral:rRNA from 1 species